AACGAACGCUGGCGGCAUGCCUAACACAUGCAAGUCGAACGAGACCUUCGGGUCUAGUGGCGUACGGGUGCGUAACGCGUGGGAAUCUGCCCUUGGGUUCGGAAUAACAGUUAGAAAUGACUGCUAAUACCGGAUAAUGUCUUCGGACCAAAGAUUUAUCGCCCAAGGAUGAGCCCGCGUAGGAUUAGCUAGUUGGUGAGGUAAAGGCUCACCAAGGCGACGAUCCUUAGCUGGUCUGAGAGGAUGAUCAGCCACACUGGGACUGAGACACGGCCCAGACUCCUACGGGAGGCAGCAGUGGGGGAUAUUGGACAAUGGGGGCAACCCUGAUCCAGCAAUGCCGCGUGAGUGAUGAAGGCCUUCGGUUGUAAAGCUCUUUCACCCACGACGAUGAUGACGGUAGUGGGAGAAGAAGCCCCGGCUAACUUCGUGCCAGCAGCCGCGGUAAU
rnacentral:rRNA from 1 species